GAGGACUAUUUGCCAAGGAGGAGGUGACUGCUCCUAGCAGAGCGACGCAAAGCGUAGCAAGGCCCGGGGCGGUCACUGAUGACGUGAGACGCUGCUGCCGAGUCACCGCUGCGAAGGGUCUGAGAGAGAAAGGUUAACUUCGGGAACAGGCUCCAAGUGGUCUCGGAUUCUAAAGAUUAGAUUAGACAGUGACACAGAAGAAUGGAUUCCAAACCCAUCGCUCAAACCUCCUGCACUGAACAAGUCAUUUAAACUCUCAGGGCCUCAGUUUCCUCAUAAUGUAAAAACAAAGGAUUUGGACUAGUGAGCGUUAAAACCCUUCCAGAGUGGGCUGUGUCUCCAUCAACUAAUGACCUGAGCCAAAGACAGUCUACUCAGACAGUUCCCGGCUUGAUAAAUAAUUACUAACACCUGACUCACAUAUUUUCCACGUGAACGGUAAAGAGGGUCAUGAUACCUUGGCCCAUUUAAGGGAAAGGUGACCUAUCUAAACUAAAAUUCUUCAGGUAGAUUGGCAGUAAAGUAGUCCUGAAAUGAAUAAAGCGCAGCACCUGGCUGGAUGCCAAAAAGAACUGACCUAAGCGUAAAUCUUGAGUUUAGAACCUGUCAUUGACAGGAGGUUGCACUUUUUUCCUUAGACAGGCACUUUCAGGGAUUUCAA